AUGAUUGCUGUGUCCUAUCUGCCGUGUGCUGGAACAUACCUAUCAGCUCAAGUUGCUCAAGUAAUCGGAAGGGUUUUGCACAACCAUGAGAGAAGAAUGCAGUCCAGUAUUUUCAGGAAGAUGGAUUCCAGCCCAUUAAAACUAAAAUUUCAGAAAGACAGGCACUCUGAUGUAUCAUCUGUCAAGGAUGUGAAAGUCUCCCUGAGAUUAGCCAGACCAGCACGGGGGAAGUGCAUAUGCGGCUCAGUUCAACAGAGAGUAUAAAACCUCAACAACUAACAAAGAAAUUUUGAAGAGAGCAGCAGGCUUGAGCUGGUAUCAACCCAUGUAUUCCUUCUCGCUGAUUGGGGACACCCAGCAUUGUGACGGUGAGCAUAUUUGAGACCGCUAACAGCAAUCGUAUUGGUAUUGUGAUUGAACUGUUUAGCUAGAUUUUGUUAAGUGUA
rnacentral:lncRNA from 1 species